rnacentral:lncRNA from 13 species
AUGGAUGGCCCUUGGAGCGGCUCCCGGCCUCUCCUGCCUGCUGCCCGGAAAACAAUCCCCAGGAUGCGGCCCCGUGGCAGCGUGAGAAGGGGGCUGGGGCCGGGCCAGCGCCUCGGGAAUGGCCGGAUGAGUCAGUGGAGGAGGCUGUGCGUGGCCCUGCUCUGCGUCAGCACCAGCCAGAAGGUUCUGGAGCCCCCCAGCUCCUGGUCGCCCACCAGCCAGAAGGUUCCAGAGUCCCCCAGCCCUCUGGCACCCCAGUGGCUCCAAUGCUCUGCACCGAGGUGGGGAACCCCAGCACCAAGUUGGGGUGAGGCUGCUCCAGUCCCCCUGGGUGGGGUGUCCCUGAGGUCUAUGGGGCUGGUGAGGGUCUUGGGGGCCAAUGGGACCUGUAGGGGUUGGUGGGGGCUUGCAGGACCUGAUGGGGGCCAGUGGGGAUCAGGGGGACUGGGGGGCUGGAAGGGGCAGCAUCCUCUCGUCCGAACGAGUCUCUCCACACACCUGGCCCCCAGGAGGGGAUUCCCAUUUGGUGCCAAGCUCCCAUCCUGGGGAAGGGCUGUUUUCCAGCUCAGUGAGCCUGGCAGCUCUGGGACCCCAUCACCUCCGCCCAGUUCUCCUCUGUCCCCAGAUUUGCCUUGGAGAAGACAGCUGAGUGGGUGGCAGCUGAGCCCUGACACACUCAGUGCAUGGAUGAGUGACCUCCAGGAGUGGGGGGGGGGGGGAUGCAGCAGGGAAUUUCGGGGUGUCCUUUGCCUGAGGCAGAGCCCAGUGCUGACUCUGGAAUGGCAGCGAGGGGGAAGGGGCUGUAGGGAGCUGAGCCAUGUGGGGCUGGGGGCUGCCUCCUGUGGCGCUGGGGUAGGCCUGGGAGGGGAACCAGGGGAAGAAAGGUCACUGGGGAGGGGACGGAAUGGGAGAGAUGCGGGGAAACGAGAGGGACGUGGGAGGGAGGGGAGAGAUGCGGGCAGGGAUGCCAGGAGGGAUGCAGGGAAAUGGGAGGGAUGCAGGGAAAUGGGAGGGAUG